GAUGAACGCUAGCGGGAGGCUUAAUACAUGCAAGUCGAGGGGCAGCAUAGAACUUCGGUUCUGAUGGCGACCGGCGAACGGGUGAGUAACGCGUACACAAUCUACCUUUUAGUGGGGAAUAGCCUUGGGAAACUGAGAUUAAUACCCCAUAGUAUUACUUUUAAUAUUUAUUAGUAAUUAAAGCUCCGGCGCUAAAAGAUGAGUGUGCGUCUGAUUAGGUAGUUGGUAGGGUAAAGGCCUACCAAGCCGACGAUCAGUAGGGGGCGUGAGAGCGUGGACCCCCACACGGGUACUGAGACACGGACCCGACUCCUACGGGAGGCAGCAGUAAGGAAUAUUGGACAAUGGGCGAAAGCCUGAUCCAGCCAUCCCGCGUGCAGGAUGACGGCCCUAUGGGUUGUAAACUGCUUUUGUUAGGGAAGAAACCCUUGGAUUUAUCCGAGGCUGACGGUACCUAAAGAAUAAGCACCGGCUAACUCCG
rnacentral:rRNA from 1 species